rnacentral:rRNA from 1 species
CCCUUAGAUGUUCUGGGCCGCACGCGUGUUACACUGAUGCGUUCAUCAAGCACCACACCUUGGCUCGAGAGGCCUGGGUAAUCUUGAAAUCGCAUCGUGCUGGGGAUAGAUUAUUGUAAUUUUUAAUCUUCAACGAGGAAUUUCUAGUAGGCGUUUGUCAUCAACAAGCACCGAUUACGUCCCUGUCCUUUGUACACACCGCCCGUCGCUACUACCGAUUGGAUCAUUUGGUGAGGCCCGCGGACUGUUGUGCUUUCUUCCUCGUGUUGAUUGCACUUCUUGGGAAGCGGUACGAACCUGNUNAUCUAANGGAAGUAAAANUCGUANCA